GAUGAACGCUGGCGGCGUGCCUAAUACAUGCAAGUCGAGCGAACAGAUAAGGAGCUUGCUCCUUUGACGUUAGCGGCGGACGGGUGAGUAACACGUGGGUAACCUACCUAUAAGACUGGAAUAACUCCGGGAAACCGGGGCUAAUGCCGGAUAACAUGUUGAACCGCAUGGUUCUACAGUGAAAGGCGGCUUUGCUGUCACUUAUAGAUGGACCCGCGCCGUAUUAGCUAGUUGGUGAGGUAACGGCUCACCAAGGCAACGAUACGUAUCCGACCUGAGAGGGUGAUCGGCCACACUGGAACUGAGACACGGUCCAGACUCCUACGGGAGGCAGCAGUAGGGAAUCUUCCGCAAUGGGCGAAAGCCUGACGGAGCAACGCCGCGUGAGUGAUGAAGGUCUUCGGAUCGUAAAACUCUGUUAUUAGGGAAGAACAAAUGCGUAAGUAACUGUGCGCGUCUUGACGGUACCUAAUCAGAAAGCCACGGCUAACUACGUG
rnacentral:rRNA from 1 species